GCACUGGUUACUUCCCCCGUCCUCUCAGCUCUGGGAAGGGUGGGGUGGUCAUGAAGUCCUGAGAGAGCAGAGGGACACACCAACUUCUCUUGUUGGUUCCCUCAACCCUGCCCAUACCUAUGGGUAAUCAGAGAUGGAUUCAGUCUCCAGUUAGGAUCCUCAUCAAGGUAUUUGUAUGGGGGAUUCCAUGCAGAUGGUGUAUAGAGAGAAGAUAGACACAAGGGAUCUUCAUAGCCAAGGACUGGAUUUGAACAAGUCAGUCUCCAGCUAUGUUUUAGACACUGAGGACUGUGCCCGUCAUCCCUUAGAGCUUCUCUCUGGGCCACUGGCUCGAAGGGCACAUCUCAGGGAAAAAGAACCCAGAAUUCACAACGGAACAUCAACAUAUCCAAAAGACAAGUUUCAAUGAACAGAUUCUCAGCAAAAGGACUCUAAGGAUGCAGAGGAAGGGAAGUCACCCAAUCUGGGAAGGAGGUUUUUAUUAAGUAUAAAAACAGGUCAUCCACACAUAGCAAUGUGCUUUUCUAGAGAAAACCAUCCUACUCACCGAGAGCCAGGAUUGAGUGGGGCUUCUGCUGUGUCUCUAGAUGAUGCCUUAAGAAACACCCACUCCCCGUGAGGGAUGUUACCAAGAAGUCAAGAACCACCAGUAACUUUGAAAAGUCCAGAUUACUCAGUCUCGGGUAUGUGUAUCAGCAAUGUGAAAACGGACUAGUACAUCUCUAGAGGCACAUGCCAUGUGGUCCAGCCAUAAUUAUUUGUUGUCACAACUAAGUUUCCUUUCUAUAUGAA
rnacentral:lncRNA from 1 species